rnacentral:rRNA from 1 species
UACGAAGGGGGCUAGCGUUGCUCGGAAUCACUGGGCGUAAAGCGCACGUAGGCGGACUCUUAAGUCGGGGGUGAAAUCCUGGAGCUCAACUCCAGAACUGCCUUCGAUACUGAGAGUCUCGAGUCCGGGAGAGGUGAGUGGAACUGCGAGUGUAGAGGUGAAAUUCGUAGAUAUUCGCAAGAACACCAGUGGCGAAGGCGGCUCACUGGCCCGGUACUGACGCUGAGGUGCGAAAGCGUGGGGAGCAAACGGG